GAAAGUAUCCUUCGGGAUGCGAGUAGCGCGGCGGAAGGGUGAGUAAUGCAUGGGUAACGUACCCCAGGCACGAGGAUAGCCCACCGAAAGGUGGAGUAAUACUCGAUGAGACCACCAGACUCGUGUGUAUGCACGAGUCAGCGGUCAAAGGGUGGGGAUCCCGACUUCGGUCGGGACCUGCCGGCCUGGGAGCGGCCCAUGUCCCAUCAGCUUGUUGGUAGGGUAAUGGCCUACCAAGGCGACGACGGGUAGCCGGACUGAGAGGUUGGCCGGCCACACUGGGACUGAGACACUGCCCAGACUCCUACGGGAGGCUGCAGGGAUGAAUCUUCCGCAAUGGGCGAAAGCCUGACGGAGCGACGCCGCGUGCGGGAAGAAGCCCUUCGGGGUGUAAACCGCUGUCAAGGGCUACCAAGCAAAUCCCCCUAAUACGGGGAGGCGUUGAGGAGCCCUAAAGGAAGCCACGGCUAACUUCGUGCCAGCAGCCGCGGUAAGACGAAGGUGGCGAGCGUUGUUCGGAAUCACUGGGCUUAAAGAGCACGUAGGCGGCCUGAUAAGCGCCGAGUGAAAUCCCUCGGCCUAACCGAGGAACUGCUCGGCGAACUGUCAGGCUUGAGGCAGGUAGAGGCGUGCGGAACUCUUGGUGGAGCGGUGAAAUGCGUAGAUAUCAAGAGGAACGCCGGUGGCGAAGGCGGCACGCUGGGCCU
rnacentral:rRNA from 1 species